AUUGAACGCUGGCGGCAUGCCUAACACAUGCAAGUCGAACGGCAGCGCGGGGGCAACCCUGGCGGCGAGUGACGGACGGGUGAGGAACACAUAGGAAUCUGCCCAGUUGUGGGGGAUAACCCGGGGAAACUCGGACUAAUACCGCAUAGGAGACGGAGACGUGAAAGCAGGGGACCGCAAGGCCUUGCGCGACUGGAUGAGCCUAUGUCGGAUUAGCUAGUUGGUAGGGUAAAGGCCUACCAAGGCGACGAUCCGUAGCUGGUCUGAGAGGAUGAUCAGCCACACCGGGACUGGAGACACGGCCCGGACU
rnacentral:rRNA from 1 species